rnacentral:rRNA from 1 species
AUAUAUAGAUAAAUAACGUAUUUUAUGGAUAGCUAGGUUGUAAUAUACAUAGGCGUUGUUGAAAACGAAACAAGAAGUGUCUCUUUACUAUAGUUUGGCUUUUUUUUCCUAUAAGGUAACUUUAAUCAAAUUUUUUUUAAAUUUGGUAUUUAAAUUCUGUAAAUUGAAACAUCUUAGUAGCAGAAUGCGCGGUAAAUCAAAAAAAAAAAAUAUUCUAAUAAUUAGAAUAUUGGGAGAGAAUUGGGUGUGUAGAGGUGAUCGAAAAUCCUUUAGAUAAGUAACAAUUGGCAGAUUGAAAUUUUUCAAAUUCCAUAGAUGGUUUAAGUCCAGUAGAUUUCUAAAUUUCUAAAUUUAGAAUUUUAUAAUGCAUUUUUGUAUUAUAAUACUAGACUAAUUGAUACUUAUAAAGUACAGCAUAGAUCGAAAGCUUUGCUGGAAUAAAAAAAGACCACUUUUUAAAUCUAAUAAAAUAUUGCAGACCGAUAGUGCACACAGUACCGUGAGGGAAAGCUGAAAAGUUACCUUGGUAGGUAGGUGAAAUAGAUCUUUAAAUAGAAUACGUAAAGCAGUUAGAUGACUAAUGUAGUUUCUGACGUACCUUUUGCAUAAUGGGUUAGCAAGUUAAUUAAUUUAGCGAGCUUAAAAUGUUAAUUGUAGGCGUAGUGAAGGCAAACGAUAAAAUGUUUUGUCAGUUAAAUUAUUUAGACCCGAAAUCAAGUGAGCUAGCCAUGACCAGGGGUAUGUUGCGUAGCGAUGUAAGACCGAACCCGUAUCUGUAGCAAAAGAUUGGGAUGAGUUGUGGUUAGGGGUGAAAGGCUUAUCAAACUUGAAAAUAGCUGGUUCUCUGCGAAAUUUAUUUAGGUAAAGCGUUAAUUUAUGAUUUUACAGGUAAAGCUCUUUACAACGUAGGGGGUUUCGAUCUACCGAAGUUGUUUAAAAUCAGAAUGGUGAAAUCAGUAUAUUAGCAGACAGGCAUAGAGCGCUAAGGUCCUACUGCCAAAAAAGAAAUAGCUUAGAAUUAUAGUUAAGGUCUUAAAAAAAAGUUAAGUGACAUAAAAAUUUUUUGUUUUUUAUAGCCAUUAGGAGGUGGGCUUAGAGG